AUCCAGAUUACGAGUCCUAGAUAGGACGAAAUGCACAUCCUGGAU
rnacentral:hammerhead_ribozyme from 1 species